UUCAAGUAUUCCCUAUUCCUUCAGUAUCUUUCAUAUCUCUAAUAUUCUCCCUACUUUUUCCUUUCCUUCUAAGGUCAAAUAUUUUUUUUUCUUGCUAGAUAUUACACUCAAACAAUAUGGUAUAAAGAACAGAACAUGAGAAGUCUCCUUCUUAUGUUGAACCUGAAUACCAUCCAUCCCAAGAGUGAAACACCAUUCUCAGUUUGUGUAUUCCCUCUCUCACACUGUACAUACAGAUGCACACAUGUAUUACAUUUAAUAGAUACAUUCAAAUGACAACAUACUGCUUAGGUGAGGUAAUGCUAGCUGCUGUAAUAACUAAACCCUAAAAUCUCAGUGGUUUAACACAAUGAAAGCUUAGUUUGGACUCACGUGGUAGUCCAAUGUUCAGUUGGCAUAUUUCCACGUGUACUUCAGGCGCCCAACUUCUGCCAUAGCCUAAGGCUUCAGUCUUCACUUUAGCAGCAAAUGGCUUUGGUUGCAGAAAGCUUCUCUGUUGAUGAUUGCUGUGGUGGUAUGAAAGCAGAGGAAAAACAUGCUUAGAGAGUUUUCCCCAAACAGUACCUAAAUAUAAGACCUAUAUUUAUU
rnacentral:lncRNA from 10 species